CAUCCACUGCGGCAGCUCACCGCCGCUUCCUUCGUCUACGGACAUCAAAUCAUUUGUCUUCCAAUGUGAUUCUUUAGUCGACACGACACGAGUGGAGAAUGGAGAAGCAUUCAUAGUAGUUCCGGUAGAGCAUCGUCGUUUGCACCUGGCGAGGUGGAAUGCUACUGUGGAAUGAAAUCGAUAUUCCGUACUUCAUGGACGGUCGAAAAUCCUGGGAAGAGAUUCAAUUGUUGUAUCAAAUCGAAGAGAGGAACACGCUCCGGGUGCAGUUUUUUUUGUGGGAAGAUCUUCAUAUGUGUCCUCGAGCCAAGGUUAUUAUCCUGGGUUGUUAAAGAAGAUGAAUGAUCGAGAGGCCAAAAUUAUGAAUUUGAAGCAAAAAGUUAAGGA